ACGGAAGGCAGCAGUGAGGAAUAUUGGUCAAUGGACGGAAGUCUGAACCAGCCAAGUCGCGUGAAGGAUGAAGGUAUUAUGUAUUGUAAACUUCUUUAGCAGUGGAGUAAUAAGGGGAUCGCGAUCCCUGAUGCAAGUACACUGAGAAUAAGGAUCGGCUAACUCCGUGCCAGCAGCCGCGGUAAUACGGAGGAUCCGAGCGUUAUCCGGAUUUAUUGGGCUUAAAGGGUGCGCAGGCGGCUUUUUAAGUCAGUGGUUAAAUCGUGACGCUCAACGUCAUCACGCCAUUGAUACUGGCGAGCUUGAUUGCGGUCGAGGUUUGCGGAAUUCGUUGUGUAGCGGUGAAAUGCAUAGAUAUGACGAAGAACACCGAUUGCGUAGGCAGCAGACCAGGCCGUAAAUGACGCUCAUGCACGAAAGUGCGGGGAUCGAACAGGAUUAGAUACCCUGGUA
rnacentral:rRNA from 1 species